CGCGAAACAUUUUCUUAAAAAAAAAAAAAAUUAAAAAAUGUAGAGUUUGGGGUUGAGUUGGGUUGCGGGGGAGGGGUUGGAUCCUGCCUGGGGGUCCCUGCCAGGCCCAUGUCUCAUUGUGGGAAUCACGUGGCCCAUGUGAAUAAUUGAGUGCUUUGUUUGGUUAUGUCUGAUGUAAAAUAAUAAUAAUAAUAUUAAUGACCGUUUCUGUCAAAUGUAGGAAACAGUGCAGGGCAAUUUCACCGUUCUUCAUUUAAAAAAAAAAAGCAGUGGAUUUCUGUGUGCGGAUAUAAGGCAAAGUGCCCUCCUUUGGAAAGGUGAACCAGCACUGCAGCAUGUCGUGCAAACAAGGACAGUUCAGGAUAUUCAUCUUGACUUAAGCCCCUAUUCCUAA
ensembl:lncRNA